GCUGGGCAUGGUGGCUCAUGCCUGUAGUUCCAGCUAUUCGGGAGGCUAAAGUGGGAGGAUCACUUGAGUCCAGGAGUUCUGGGCUGCAGUGCGCUAUGCCAAUUGGGUGUCUGCACUAAGUUCGGCAUCAAUAUGGUGACCUCCCCGGAGCGGGGGACCACCAGGUUGCCUAAGGAGGGGUGAACCGGCCCAGGUUGGAAACGGAGCAGGUCAAAACUCCCGUGCUGAUCAGUAGUGGGAUUGCGCCUGUGAAUAGCCACUGCACUCCAGCCUGGGCAAUAUAGUGAGACCCUGUCUCU
rnacentral:SRP_RNA from 1 species